rnacentral:rRNA from 1 species
UGGGGAAUUUUGGACAAUGGGGGAAACCCUGAUCCAGCCAUCCCGCGUGUGCGAUGAAGGCCUUCGGGUUGUAAAGCACUUUUGGCAGGAAAGAAACGUCAUGGGUUAAUACCCCGUGAAACUGACGGUACCUGCAGAAUAAGCACCGGCUAACUACGUGCCAGCAGCCGCGGUAAUACGUAGGGUGCAAGCGUUAAUCGGAAUUACUGGGCGUAAAGCGUGCGCAGGCGGUUCGGAAAGAAAGAUGUGAAAUCCCAGAGCUCAACUUUGGAACUGCAUUUUGAACUACCGGGCUAGAGUGUGUCAGAGGGAGGUGGAAUUCCGCGUGUAGCAGUGAAAUGCGUAGAUAUGCGGAGGAACACCGAUGGCGAAGGCAGCCUCCUGGGAUAACACUGACGCUCAUGCACGAAGGCGUGGGGAGCAAACAGG